GGGAUCUGGAGGUCUGUCCACUUUCUCCACCAGAGGGCGUACUAGAUCUCCUGGAGCCGGAGUUGAUUGCAACCACCUGACGCUCAUCUGCUCAUCAGGAGAUCUGUAUUUAAGGAGGCAGAGGACUUCUCUCCAGUGCCAGAGUGUUUGCCAGUUACGAUUGAACCUGUCUGAAACCUGAAACCCAAAAGAGUAUAUCUGCCGGUAAUCUGCCUCUCUGUUCUCUGAAGAACCCUGGAGAACUAUUCCCGUCAAAGACCUGCCUGCCCGCUCUCUGAAGAAACGGGAAGGGAAACUCAAAUCGGUAAUCUGCCAACACUCAAACCAAGCUCUGCCUCCACCUAGCCCUCAGCCUGCCGACAGCCUCUGGACCCUCAAGGUUCCCCCCUCAGCUGCUCAGCUCAACUCCUGUACAGUGAACCCACUCGUGACCAGUCCUGGACCUGUUAACUCUGUGUGCAUUUCAGAAUCCACUCGUGACCAGACGAGUUCCCCUUGGGAUCUGUUUAUUCAUUGUAUUCCAUCUUCUAAAUAAACAUUUGAACUUUUA